rnacentral:rRNA from 1 species
CCUACGGGGGGCAGCAGUGGGGAAUAUUGCGCAAUGGGCGAAACCCUGAUGCAGCGACGCCGCGUGGGUGAAGAAGCGCCUCGGCGCGUAAAGCCCUGUCAGCAGGGAAGAAAAUGACGGUACCUGAAGAAGCAGCCCCGGCUAACUACGUGCCAGCAGCCGCGGUAAUACGUAGGGGGCAAGCGUUAUCCGGAUUUACUGGGUGUAAAGGGGGCGCAGACGGCGAUGCAAGCCAGGAGUGAAAGCCCGGGGCCCAACCCCGGGACUGCUCUUGGAACUGCGUGGCUAGAGUGCAGGAGGGGCAGGCGGAAUUCCUGGUGUAGCGGUGAAAUGCGUAGAUAUCAGGAGGAACACCGGUGGCGAAGGCGGCCUGCUGGACUGCAACUGACGUUGAGGCCCGAAAGCGUGGGGAGCAAACAGGAUUAGAUACCCCGGUAGUC